AGAGCGAACGCUGGCGGCAGGCCUAAUACAUGCAAGUCGAACGCACCUUCGGGUGAGUGGCGGACGGGUGAGUAACACGUGGGAACGUGCCCUUCAGUUCGGAACAACCCAGGGAAACUUGGGCUAAUACCGGAUACGUCCGUAAGGAGAAAGAUUUAUCGCUGAAGGAUCGGCCCGCGUCUGAUUAGCUAGUUGGUGAGGUAACGGCUCACCAAGGCGACGAUCAGUAGCUGGUCUGAGAGGAUGAUCAGCCUCACUGGGACUGAGACACGGCCCAGACUCCUACGGGAGGCAGCAGUGGGGAAUAUUGGACAAUGGGCGCAAGCCUGAUCCAGCCAUGCCGCGUGGGUGAUGAAGGCCCUAGGGUUGUAAAGCCCUUUCGGCGGGAAGAUAAUGACGGUACCCGCAGAAGAAGCCCGGCUAACUUCGCGCCAGCAGCCGC
rnacentral:rRNA from 1 species